rnacentral:rRNA from 1 species
AUUAGAUACCCCUGGUAGUCCUAGCCCUAAACGAUCGGGGACUUGGGGUGGCUCANCGUUCGUGAGUCGUCCCGGAGCUAACGCGUUAAGUCCCGCGCCUGGGGAGUACGGUCGCAAGACUGAAACUCAAAGGAAUUGACGGGGGCCCGCACAAGCGGUGGAACAUGUGGUUCAAUUCGACGCUACGCGAGGAACCUUACCUGGGCUCGAAAUGCUAGUGACCAGCUUUAGAAAUAUCGCCUUCCCGCAAGGGACACUAGUAUAGGCGCUGCAUGGCUGUCGUCAGCUCGUGCCGUGAGGUGUUGGGUUAAGUCCCGCACGAGCGCAACCCCUGCACGUAGUUGCCACUCCGCAAGGAGGGAACUCUACGUGGACUGCUCCGGAUAACGGAGAGGAAGGUGGGGAUGACGUCAAGUCCGCAUGGCCUUUAUGUCCAGGGCUACACACGUGUUACAAUGCAGGGUACAAACCGUUGCCAACCCGCGAGGGGGAGCUAAUCGGAUAAAACUCUGCUCAGUUCGGAUUGCAGUCUGCAACUCGACUGCAUGAAGCCGGAAUCGCUAGUAAUGGCGUAUCAGAUCGACGCCGUGAAUACGUUCCCGGGCCUUGUACACACCGCCCGUCACAUCACGAAAGUGGGUUGUACUAGAAGUCGCCAAGCUAACCGCAAGGAGGCAGGCGCCCAAGGUAUGAUUCACGAUUGGGGUGAAGUCGUAACAAGGUACC